GUCGCGAUGGCCGAGUGGUUAAGGCGUUUGACUAGAAAUCAAAUGGGGUAUCCCCGCGCAGGUUCGAAUCCUGCUCGCGACG
rnacentral:tRNA from 1 species